rnacentral:rRNA from 1 species
UACGAAGGGGGCUAGCGUUGUUCGGAAUUACUGGGCGUAAAGCGCACGUAGGCGGAUACUUAAGUCAGGGGUGAAAUCCCGGGGCUCAACCCCGGAACUGCCUUUGAUACUGGGUAUCUCGAGUCCGGAAGAGGUGAGUGGAAUUCCGAGUGUAGAGGUGAAAUUCGUAGAUAUUCGGAGGAACACCAGUGGCGAAGGCGGCUCACUGGUACGGUACUGACGCUGAGACGCGAAAGCGUGGGGAGCGAACAGG